GUCCACGCCGUAAACGAUGUCUACUAGUUGUCGGGUCUCUUGCAGACUUGGUAACGAAGCUAACGCGAUAAGUAGACCGCCUGGGGAGUACGGCCGCAAGGUUAAAACUCAAAUGAAUUGACGGGGGCCCGCACAAGCGGUGGAGCAUGUGGUUUAAUUCGAAGCAACGCGAAGAACCUUACCCGGCCUUGACAUCCUGCGAACUUUCUAGAGAUAGAUUGGUGCCUUCGGGAGCGCAGUGACAGGUGCUGCAUGGCU
rnacentral:rRNA from 1 species